rfam:Schistosoma rodhaini strain Burundi genome assembly, scaffold: SROB_scaffold0006255
AUCCAGCUGACGAGUCCCAAAUAGGACGAAACGUGCAUCCUAGAU